GCGAGCUUGCCUAGAUGAUUUUAGUGCUUGCACUUAAUGAAACUAGAUACAAGCGAGCGGCGGACGGGUGAGUAACACGUGGGUAACCUGCCCAAGAGACUGGGAUAUCACCUGGAAACAGAUGCUAAUACCGGAUAACAACACUAGACGCAUGUCUAGAGUUUGAAAGAUGGUUCUGCUAUCACUCUUGGAUGGACCUGCGGUGCAUUAGCUAGUUGGUAAGGUAACGGCUUACCAAGGCAAUGAUGCAUAGCCGAGUUGAGAGACUGAUCGGCCACAUUGGGACUGAGACACGGCCCAAACUCCUACGGGAGGCAGCAGUAGGGAAUCUUCCUUUAUGGACGAAAGUCUGAUGGAGCAACGCCGCGUGAGUGAAGAAGGGUUUCGGCUCGUAAAGCUCUGUUGGUAGUGAAGAAAGAUAGAGGUAGUAACUGGCCUUUAUUUGACGGUAAUUACUUAGAAAGUCACGGCUAACUACGUGCCAGCAGCCGCGGUAAUACGUAGGUGGCAAGCGUUGUCCGGAUUUAUUGGGCGUAAAGCGAGUGCAGGCGGUUCAAUAAGUCUGAUGUGAAAGCCUUCGGCUCAACCGGAGAAUUGCAUCAGAAAACUGUUGAACUUGA
rnacentral:rRNA from 1 species